AAUGACUCUCGGCAACGGAUAUCUCGGCUCUCGCAUCGAUGAAGAACGUAGCGAAAUACGAUACUUGGUGUGAAUUGCAGAAUCCCGUGAACCAUCAAGUUUUUGAACGCAAGUUGCGCCCGAAGCCAUUAGGCUAAGGGCACGUCUGCCUGGGCGUCACGC
rnacentral:rRNA from 2 species